rnacentral:rRNA from 1 species
AUGGGCGCAAGCCUGAUGCAGCCAUGCCGCGUGUGUGAAGAAGGCCUUCGGGUUGUAAAGCACUUUCAGUCGUGAGGAAGGUAGUGUAGUUAAUAGCUGCAUUAUUUGACGUUAGCGACAGAAGAAGCACCGGCUAACUCCGUGCCAGCAGCCGCGGUAAUACGGAGGGUGCGAGCGUUAAUCGGAAUUACUGGGCGUAAAGCGCAUGCAGGUGGUUUGUUAAGUCAGAUGUGAAAGCCCGGGGCUCAACCUCGGAAUAGCAUUUGAAACUGGCAGACUAGAGUACUGUAGAGGGGGGUAGAAUUUCAGGUGUAGCGGUGAAAUGCGUAGAGAUCUGAAGGAAUACCGGUGGCGAAGGCGGCCCCCUGGACAGAUACUGACACUCAGAUGCGAAAGCGUGGGGAGCAAACAGGAUUAGAUACCCUGGUAGUCCACGCCGUAAACGAUGUCUACUUGGAGGGUGUGGCCUUGAGCCGUGGCUUUCGGAGCUAACGCGUUAAGUAGACCGCCUGGG